GACGAACGCUGGCGGCAUGCCUAACACAUGCAAGUCGAACGAGACCUUCUGGUCUAGGGGCGAACUUGUACGUAACGCAUGGGGACCUUCCCUUGGGUUGGGACUAACUCCCCGAGAGGGGUGCUAAUACCGGAUGAUUUCUUCUGACCAAUGAUUUAUCGCCUUGGGAUGGGCCCGCGUUGAAUUAGCUAGUUGGUAAGGUAAAGGCCUACCAAGGCGACGAUCCAUAGCUGGUGUGGGAGGAUGAUCAGCACCACUGGGACUGGGACACGGACCAGACCCUUACGGGAGGAAGAAGUGGGGACUAUUGGACAAUGGGCGAGAGACUGAUCCAGCAAUGUCGCGUGAGUGAUGAAGGAGUUAGGGUUGUAAAGCUCUUUUAAACGGGAUGAUAAUGACAGUAACGGGAGAAUAAGCUACGGCUAACUCCGUG
rnacentral:rRNA from 1 species